GAGGAUCCUGCGUCUGAUUAGCUAGUUGGCGGGGUAACGGCCACCAAGGCGACGAUCAGUAGCCGGCCUGAGAGGGUGAUCGGCCACACUGGAACUGAGACACGGUCCAGACUCCUACGGGAGGCAGCAGUGGGGAAUUUUGCGCAAUGGGCGAAAGCCUGACGCAGCAACGCCGCGUGGGUGAUGAAGGUCUUCGGAUUGUAAAACCCUGUCGUCAGGGACGAAGGUGCGCUUGCGAAUAGUGAGUGCGCUUGACGGUACCUGGAGAGGAAGCCCCGGCUAACUCUGUGC
rnacentral:rRNA from 1 species